GUUCAGCAUGACACAGCUUACCCUGUUAAAGACCAAGAAAACCAACUCUUAAUUCUCUUCACAGACCAUAUAAGAGACGCAUGAUUUAUAAUUUUUCUUUUAAAAAAUGUUAAUCAUGGUCAUUGUUGGUGUGCUAUAAGAAUGCCUUUGGACUAGUGAUCCAAUAACCAUUAACUUCUCCGGCAUAGUGUGAAUGCAUGAUUACGUAGAUUUUAUAAACGCUUUGGGACAAAAGAUGGAUUUAUAUAGGAUUAUUAAUAAAAGUUUCUAAUCACCUAUCAUGUUUUU
rnacentral:misc_RNA from 1 species